rnacentral:tRNA from 1 species
GCCCUCGUAGUUCAAUGGAUAGAAUAGAUCCCUCCUAAGGAUGAGAUGUUGGUUCGAUUCCAACCGAGGGUA